rnacentral:misc_RNA from 1 species
UCACAUCCAGCUGGCAUGACUCUUGG